GAUGAACGCUGGCGGCGUGCCUAAUACAUGCAAGUCGAGCGAAUGGAUUAAGAGCUUGCUCUUAUGAAGUUAGCGGCGGACGGGUGAGUAACACGUGGGUAACCUGCCCAUAAGACUGGGAUAACUCCGGGAAACCGGGGCUAAUACCGGAUAACAUUUUGAACCGCAUGGUUCGAAAUUGAAAGGCGGCUUCGGCUGUCACUUAUGGAUGGACCCGCGUCGCAUUAGCUAGUUGGUGAGGUAACGGCUCACCAAGGCAACGAUGCGUAGCCGACCUGAGAGGGUGAGCGGCCAGACUGGGACUGAGACACGGCCCAGACUCCGACGGGAGGCAGCAGUAGGGAACCUUCCGCAAUGGACGAAAGUCUGACGGAGCAACGCCGCGUGAGUGAUGAAGGCUUUCGGGUCGUAAAACUCUGUUGUUAGGGAAGAACAAGUGCUAGUUGAAUAAGCUGGCACCUUGACGGUACCUAACCAGAAAGCCACGGCUAACUACGUGCCAGCAGCCGCCGUAA
rnacentral:rRNA from 1 species